GAUGAACGCUGGCGGCGUGCCUAAUACAUGCAAGUCGAGCGAACGGACGAGAAUCUUGCUGGUCGGAUGUUAGCGGCGGGCGGGUGAGUAACACGUGGAUAACCUACCUAUAAGUCUGGGAUCACUUGGGGACACCGGAUCUAAUACCGUAUGAUAUGGUGAACCGCAUGGUUCAGGAGUGAAAGACGGUCUUGCUGUCACUUAGAGAUGGAUCCGCGCUGCAUUAGCUAGUUGGUAAGGUAACGGCUUACCAAGGCAACGAUGCAUAGCCGACCUGAGAGGGUGAUCGGCCACACUGGAACUGAGACACGGUCCAGACUCCUACGGGAGGCAGCAGUAGGGAAUCUUCCGCAAUGGGCGAAAGCCUGACGGAGCAACGCCGCGUGAGUGAUGAAGGUCUUCGGAUCGUAAAACUCUGUUAUUAGGGAAGAACAUAUGUGUAAGUAACUGUGAACAUCUUGACGGUACCUAAUCAGAAAGCCACGGCUAACUACGUG
rnacentral:rRNA from 1 species